rnacentral:rRNA from 1 species
CUACGGGGCGCUCCAGUGGGGAAUAUUGCGCAAUGGACGCAAGUCUGACGCAGCAAUGCCGCGUGGGUGAUGAAGGCUCUAGGGUCGUAAAGCCCUGUCAGAGGGGAAGAACCUGACAAUCAGGAAAUGGGUUGUCACUGACGGUACCCUCAAAGGAAGCACCGGCUAACUCCGUGCCAGCAGCCGCGGUAAUACGGGGGGUACGAGCGUUGUUCGGAAUCACUGGGCGUAAAGCGCGUGUAGGCGGAUUGUUAAGUCAGGUGUGAAAGCCCACGGCUCAACUGUGGAACUGCAUUUGAAACUGGCGAUCUAGAGUGCGGGAGAGGGAAGGGGAAUUCCCGGUGUAGAGGUGACAUUCGUAGAUAUCGGGAGGAAUACCGGUGGCGAAGGCGCCUUCCUGGACCGACACUGACGCUGAGACGCGAAAGCGUGGGUAGCAAACAGGAUUAGAUACCCUUGUAGUC